CCUCGGAUUGCCGGAAAGGCAACCGAAAACCUCAAACAGUAAGCUGUAACCUAAAAACAGUCUUACCGGAGUGCAGGGAGCUAGGGUUAGCCGCCGGUGGCCGGGAGGCGGGCGGUCCGGCCGGAGAUGGAAGCAGUCGGUCCGAGAGGUCCGGGGAGGGUGAUGGCCGGCGGCGGGCGGCAACCGGUGGCGCGGCGGCUGAGAUCCACGCCUCCCACUCCUUCUCGGGUUUGAUCUUCCCGGCGGCGCGGCGGCGGCCGGAAGAGGUCGGGGUGGCGACGAACCGGCGGCGGAGGCCGAGGAGAAGGCGGUGCAACCCCCGGUUGGCGGCGGCGGCGCUUGGAAGCCGAGCGGACCCGACCUCGGCCCGCACGGGUCUGGGCGGCCGCAGGUGGUCUCAGCGGCGACCGGCGGCGCGCGGGGACGGCGGGGGACGAGCGCGCCGGGUUGCCGGAGGUUGCCGGGGUCGACAGGAGGGCGGCGCAGCCAAAGGGAGGCGUCGGCAGCUCGGGGAUACCGAGAUCACCCAGGCUCGGCCUGGGUGACUGCGGGUGGCCACAGGUAGCUGGGGCGGCGCCGGCGGCGCGUGUGGGCGGCGACGGCCGGCGGGGACGGCGCCGGGGAGAUCCAGGAGGGUGACGCUUCCAAUCCCGAGCGGCAGCAGGGCGAGGAGGAGGAGAUCCCACGGCCUCGGCCAGAUCUGCUUAGUUCUGGCCGCAUCUAGCCAGGGCGGUGAUGGCGGCGCUCGGGGGCGGCAGAGACGGCGCCGGGGUUAGGGUUGCAGCCUAGGACGAGGCCAGAGGCUAGUGGAUCUCUCCCUGAGGGCCACGACAGAGAUGAAGGGUCGAUCUAUGGUGGUUAGGUAUAGAAUAUGGUGGAGGAGAAGCCACCUGUAACAUACUGGACCUUUGCAAAUUGCGAGGUUCUAGUGAUUGAAUGUGUUUCGAGCUUUCCCACACUUGGUGGAGGGUUGUAAAAUGCUUUUCCGACCUAAAAAGUUCGUAAACUAGAAUUCUGGACAAGUCCUGAGAGUUUUUACUCUCGGGGACCGGUCCCUGGAAGGAGAGACCGGUCCCCCAAUGAGCAGUGUUGAGGCAGCCUGAGGCAACCGGUCCCUGGCAGGCGAGACCGGUCCCCGAGUGCGUCUUCGCAGUGAGAGACCGGUCCUGCACGGGGAGAGACCGGUUCCCGAACGUUGGUUUUUCGGGUUCGCAGCGAGAGACCGGUCCCUGCUGGGGAGAGACCGGUCCCUCUGGGCGAAAACUGCCCAGACCGGGCUGAUGCAAUAUUGAUUUUUUGAGGGGCCUCUCCAGAUUUUGUUACACUAGAUGGGCUUAUUAGCCAUUUCCUCCUCUUCCCUCUCUCAUUUUCUCAUUCUCACCCUCUCCCUACACUUUCUAGAGAGAGAAGAAGAAGAAGAAGGAGGAGAGAAAGAAGAGGAGCUAGUUUGAGGGAGCUUGGAGCUCAACCCCAUUCUCUCUUUUCCACCUUUGCAAGGCUUGGAGCUUGCUUGUAGAGCUUGGUGGUGGGCCAAUCUUCAACCCUAAAAGAUUUAGAGCUUGUUUGGAGGCAUUUUGGGAGGUUAGUACUUGGAUUCUACCCUUUGAUCCUUGGUUUGGUAGGUUUUACCAUUUGGAACCCUAGAAUGGGUAUUAGGGUUGAUUUUUGGGGCUUUUUGAUUUAGGGCUUGUGGGGCUAGAUUGAUUGGAUUAGAGCCUUCCUUGAGCUUGGAUUGGAAGGGUUUUAGCUCUCUUUUGGAGCUUUAGAAGAGAUUUCUUCUCUUGAGGUGAAUUUUGGCCCUAUUUGUUUCUAAAUUGAUGUUUGAUCUCAUGGUUGGUCGUAAUACUCUCGUAUCUCUUCGCUGAUCACUUUUAGGGUAUCUUGAGGCUCGUGGACAACUCCGUUCGACGAAUCGAAGGAGCACGCGACGGUUCGGUGGGUUUGGCCUAGCAUACAAUAUGAGAAAUGCUCAUAUUUGGUGUUAAAUGUUUCGUAAAGUUGAAAUUCUUGCAUUUUCAUGUUAAAUGUAAUUAUUAUGAAUUUUAGAAUGCUUAACAUGCAUAGGUUAUGUGUAGUAAAUUUUGGGACCUCUAUAUAGUAGAGAACAUGCAUGUGCGGCCUAGCAUUCUAGUUGAGACUUGAAAUUAUAAUCCCUAUUAUGAAAACGAACCUUGCUUUCAUGCAUUCGAACUAUAUACCAGAUGUGACAUUAGGGAUUUUUGGAAGCCUAGAGAGGCUUAGGGACUUAGAUGAUAUGUGAGAUUCGGCCAAUGUCAUGAAGAGGCAUUGGGGCCCGGGGCAUAGUGAGCAUUAAUGUUAAUGUCUUAAUUGGAACAUGAUUAGUUGUGAAGCUUAAGUGUCAUAAAGAGGCACUAAGCAAGUGUGUGUUGGGACUUCACAUUAUGACUCUGAACUAGAUCUUCGGGAUGCUAGUGACUAUACCAUGUUAGAGACAUGAGGAUUGGGUACUUGAGACAGUGACCUUGCUUGUUUGCCAUUUGUGCUCAUUCGCACAUGCUUGUGAGGGUCGCUCCCCACAAGCCGGCACUCCGGAGUUGGCCUCUGCGACUUUCGUUCGCUCGUGCGGUAUUGAGACGCCUACGGGGUCGAGUGGGACCGACACAUUCCAUGUGUAGGAAUGUCGGGCUACCACAGGCACUUAGGCGGCACAAGCCGGACUACCUUGGGUAGAUCCUUAAUUGGAAAUGAAAAUCGACACGGUUUGAGAAUGAAUGAUCACUACUAGAUAGGCUUAGUAGUUGGAUUACAUUUACAUGCUUUUAGCAUAGUGUGAGACAUGUAGUAUACUUGGUUGCCAUGAUAGAACUUCUACAUCGUGUAUUGACAAAGGUUAACAACAUUAAACUAGUGCAAUUGGACUUAAUUGUAAUGAUAGAAUAGAUGUACAUUUUGGUUGACAUCAUGCUUACUUGAGACACAGUAGACUAGCAUUUCAAUUAUGCUUUCUUUUAGCAGUUUAUUCACAUGCUCCUUACUACUUAUUAUUAUCGUUGCUUACCCUUAUUUUUGGGUCCUAGUGGAGCAUGAGCUGAGGUCAGUAAUUGCCCACUGGGAACUAUAAAUUAUAGUUCUCACGCCCUCUUUUUUUUCGUUGUUUUUCAGAGCCUUCCACACAGGGUGAGGCCAGGGAUCGCGGAAAGAGUAUUAUCUCGGGCUAGCGUGCUUACCGAGGGAUCGUUUGAUAGGUGGUCUACCUCUCUUUGUUUCUUUUGUGAGAGGUUGAGAGUUAUACCGGUGUACUAGAGACCACCAUUUUUGUACUAGAAGCAGAUAUUGUACUACUUAUGUUUCACUUUUAUGGUUUAGUUAUGCUCUUUUCCUAUUGUUAUAGAAGAUAGAAUCAUACUGCUCUGAUAUUAUUAGUUGUUACUCUUUCGUUUCUUUUACUUCUCGCUCUUACUUCCGCUUUUACUCUAGACGCCUUAUAUGUGUAGACAUAUGGCGGGUCUGAACACGCUACCGAGAGGGCCUCUGCCGAUCCCGGGGCGUGACACCACCCAAGCUUUUCCGGCGGCCGGGGGAGAUUACCGGCGGCCGGGGUACGCGCACGGCUAGGGCAGGAGCUGGCUGGUGUUGACUAGGGCAUAGCUAGGCAUUUGGGUCGGCUAGAUCUAGGGUUUCAUGCAAUGAAACCCUAGUCGCAACUUGUUUACAAGCGACAUUAUGGUUAAACGUCCCCCAAAGCUGAAUAUUUUCAGUUCAGACCCUGCUAGCACGUGUAAAAUGCACGAAUGCAUCCCCAUAACAGAUCCCGCGCAAGUCGGUUCAUAAAAUAUAACGACUUUUGUGAAUUUCCCGAUUUUCCACUCUCGACCCCUGAGCGAACAACAUGCAAUAUCCGACAAUCCGUUCAUCGGAUUUCCGAACGGAUCGCACCAUCGCGAUCAGCACAACGAGGGCAUCCAAACUACCAUCUUGUUUUGUCAGAUUUGGUCACGGAUUCGCGACGGAACCCACCCGCUCUCUAAUUAAUCCGUAUAUCGCGCAUAUACCGAAGUAUAAACCCUAAAACCUUUAAUCCAAAUUCAAAUUUGAAUUCCCUACCACCAGUAGGUACCAGAAACAACUCUCACCUAAUCCCAGGUCACAAGCACAGAGCACGAGGAGUUUUAAAAUGCACGAAUAGCAAAGAGCGGAAACCCUCUUUUUGUUAAAACUCCUUUUUCUCGAAAACCGUGCAUCGGAUCUGAAA
rnacentral:lncRNA from 1 species